GAUUAAGUUAAUAAGGGCGCACGGUGGAUGCCUUGGCACUAGGAGCCGAUGAAGGACGGGACUAACACCGAUAUGCUUCGGGGAGCUGUAAGCAAGCUUUGAUCCGGAGAUUUCCGAAUGGGGAAACCCACCGCCCGUAAUGGGGCGGUAUCCAUUCCUGAAUACAUAGGGGAUGGAAGGCAGACCCGGGGAACUGAAACAUCUCAGUACCCGGAGGAAGAGAAAGAAAAUUCGAUUCCCCAAGUAGCGGCGAGCGAAACGGGAAGAGCCCAAACCAAGAGGCUUGCCUCUUGGGGUUGUAGGACACUCUAUACGGAGUUACAAAGGAACGGGGUAGAUGAAGCGGCCUGGAAAGGCCCGCCAGAGAAGGUAACAGCCCUGUAGUCGAAACUUCGUUCCCUCCAGAGUGGAUCCUGAGUACGGCGGGACACGAGAAAUCCCGUCGGAAUCUGGGAGGACCAUCUCCCAAGGCUAAAUACUCCCUAGUGACCGAUAGUGAACCAGUACCGUGAGGGAAAGGUGAAAAGCACCCCGGAAGGGGAGUGAAAAAGAUCCUGAAACCGUGCGCCUACAAGUAGUCAGAGCACAUUCAUGUGUGAUGGCGUGCCUUUUGUAGAAUGAACCGGCGAGUUGUGAUUUCAUGCAAGGUUAAGUCGAUAAGACGGAGCCGCAGCGAAAGCGAGUCUGAAUAGGGCGAAUGAGUAUGAGGUUGCAGACCCGAAACCAGGUGAUCUACCCAUGUCCAGGGUGAAGGCAAGGUAACACUUGCUGGAGGCCCGAACCCACGUAUGUUGAAAAAUGCGGGGAUGAGGUGUGGGUAGCGGUGAAAUUCCAAUCGAACCUGGAGAUAGCUGGUUCUCUCCGAAAUAGCUUUAGGGCUAGCCUCAAGGUAGAGAGUCUUGGAGGUAGAGCACUGUUUGGACUAGGGGCCCUCACCGGGUUACCGAAUUCAGACAAACUCCGAAUGCCGAUGACUCAUCCUUGGGAGUCAGACUGCGAGUGAUAAGAUCCGUAGUCGAGAGGGAAACAGCCCAGACCGCCAGCUAAGGUCCCAAAGUAUACGUUAAGUGGAAAAGGAUGUGGAGUUGCUUAGACAACCAGGAUGUUGGCUUAGAAGCAGCCACCAUUUAAAGAGUGCGUAAUAGCUCACUGGUCGAGUGACUCUGCGCCGAAAAUGUACCGGGGCUAAACGUAUCACCGAAGCUGCGGAUUGACACCUAUGGUGUCAGUGGUAGGAGAGCGUUCUAAGGGCUGAGAAGCCAGACCGUAAGGACUGGUGGAGCGCUUAGAAGUGAGAAUGCCGGUAUGAGUAGCGAAAGAAGGGUGAGAAUCCCUUCCACCGAAUGCCUAAGGUUUCCUGAGGAAGGCUCGUCCGCUCAGGGUUAGUCGGGGCCUAAGUCGAGGCCGAAAGGCGUAGACGAUGGAUAACAGGUUGAUAUUCCUGUACCACCUAAUUACCGUUUGAGCAAUGGGGGGACGCAGGAGGAUAGGGUAAGCGCGGCGCUGGAAGCCGCGUCCAAGCAGUUAGGCUGGAGAUGAGGCAAAUCCUUGUCUCCGCGUAAGCUGAGCUGUGAUGGCGAGGGAAAUUUAGUACCGAAGUUCCUGAUUCCACACUGCCAAGAAAAGCCUCUAGCGAGGUAACAGGUGCCCGUACCGCAAACCGACACAGGUAGGCGAGGAGAGAAUCCUAAGGUGAUCGAGAGAACUCUCGUUAAGGAACUCGGCAAAAUGACCCCGUAACUUCGGGAGAAGGGGUGCUCUAUUAGGGUGAAAGCCCGAGAGAGCCGCAGUGAAUAGGCCCAGGCGACUGUUUAGCAAAAACACAGGUCUCUGCGAAGCCGCAAGGCGAAGUAUAGGGGCUGACGCCUGCCCGGUGCUGGAAGGUUAAGAGGAGCGCUCAGACUUCGGUCGAAGGUGCGAAUUGAAGCCCCAGUAAACGGCGGCCGUAACUAUAACGGUCCUAAGGUAGCGAAAUUCCUUGUCGGGUAAGUUCCGACCCGCACGAAAGGCGCAACGAUCUGGGCACUGUCUCAACGAGAGACUCGGUGAAAUUAUAGUACCUGUGAAGAUGCAGGUUACCCGCGACAGGACGGAAAGACCCCGUGGAGCUUUACUGCAGCCUGAUAUUGAAUGUUGGUGCAGCUUGUACAGGAUAGGUAGGAGCCUUGGAAGCGUGAGCGCCAGCUUACGUGGAGGCAACGGUGGGAUACUACCCUUGCUGUACUGACAUUCUAACCCGCACCCGUGAUCCGGGUGGGAGACAGUGUCUGGCAGGCAGUUUGACUGGGGCGGUCGCCUCCCAAAAUGUAACGGAGGCGCCCAAAGGUUCCCUCAGAAUGGUUGGAAAUCAUUCGCAGAGUGUAAAGGCACAAGGGAGCUUGACUGCGAGACCUACAAGUCGAGCAGGGACGAAAGUCGGG
rnacentral:rRNA from 1 species